rnacentral:rRNA from 1 species
AACGAACGCUGGCGGCAGGCCUAACACAUGCAAGUCGAGCGAGGACUUCGGUUCUAGCGGCGGACGGGUGAGUAACGCGUGGGAAUGUGCCCUUCUCUACGGAAUAGCCCUGGGAAACUGGGAGUAAUACCGUAUACGCCCUAUUGGGGAAAGAUUUAUCGGAGAAGGAUCAGCCCGCGUUGGAUUAGGUAGUUGGUGGGGUAAUGGCCUACCAAGCCGACGAUCCAUAGCUGGUUUGAGAGGAUGAUCAGCCACACUGGGACUGAGACACGGCCCAGACACGGAGUGGAGGAGGCGGGAGGUGAACUUCAACAAGGGGGACAACGAUGAGACAGCGAGGCCGCGGGGGGGAGGAAGGUCUGUGAGUGAUAAAGCUCUGACAGCGGGAAAGAAAAGGGGGAUACCAGAAAAAGAAGCCCCGACAAACUCCGUGCCAGCGCCCGCGGUAAUAAUCGAAAAGCAUACGUCUGAAC